rnacentral:lncRNA from 1 species
AUAUAUAGGCCUAUUUAUUUUUAUCUACCUCAGGGAAAAGAAAUAGACAAAAUUUUGAUAUUUAAAUAAUAUUUUUUUGGCAGCUUAAACAACAAUUUCAACUAUUAGAAAAUAUGUCAACUGUGAAACACCAUCUUUUCUUGUCUUUUUUUUUUUUUUUUUUACAUAUCGGGCCCCUAAUUACAUUGAAAACACCUGGCCGCAGUUUUAAAUGUAGAAAACCCUGUUGAAAUAACGUAGGAGCUUAAAGAUGUCGGCAGCUGUAGAUUCUGAUAAAGUUUUGUCCGAGGAUGGAGACACUCAGGCACCCGAAAAGAGCGACUAUCCGUUCCAAGAGACUAUAAAGAACCUUGAUGACAGGCUGGCCAUUCUUUCCGAAAACAUAAGCCUUUGCUCGUCGGCUCUGAGUGACCUGCACGACCUCUACGAUGUUUUAGCGAAAAAACGUCUUCAGCAAGGAUCCGAGGACCCCCACACUCCUAAACAUGAACUUGAAUAAAGUGCAACACCACUAUGGAGAUGAUUUCAGUGAUGGGAAUAAGGUUUUAUUAGUAUAUUGCUCUCAAGUCAUUAUUCAAUAUGAAACAAGCAUAUAAGCAAACAGUUGAACAUUGUACAUUCUUUUGAAAAUACAAAUCCUGAACCAUCCGUCUGUCUUUGGGCUUUAAACAUUCCUUUGGAAGCAUGUGGUUUUCCAUGUUUGCUGUCUGUUUUGGGGAGAAAAUAAGCAAAACUUGGUUUCUGCUUUACUUUGUGAUCUAAUGCUUCCAAAUAAAUGUCACCAUGUGUGACAUGCAAUAAAAAAAAAAAAAUUAAAAUAAUUGGCGAUUAUAACUUAUUUUUCUCUAAAUGUCCUUUCUCUGAAGGUUAAAGUAGAGAAAAAAAAAGGCUGCAAGGAUUACAAAGUGAGUACAAAGUGUGUUUAUCCAUAAACUCUACGACAAAGAGCAGUCUACAUCAAUUCCUAAAACAGAACCAUUCACAAAGCACUUCAUCACAAAAACAAAACUGGUUGAUUCUCUUGAACCCGUUACAACCUCUGAGGCAAAAACUGUGAAAAAGGAUCAAUAUGGUGCAAUGUUUCUAUGGAAGUAGCACUUCAGUCCAGAUUCAAACUCCAGCAUCAACUAUCAGAGGAAUCAAACGCUUCAAUUUGCAUAGUUUUCUACACAAUAGUGUGUAUGAAUGUUGAGGUUUGCCUCCUUUGUCUUUUUAAGAUUUAGACAAGUGCUGUUUGAUGGUUAAACAUUAUUGAGCUAAACUUUUUUGGCUAUAUUACUGCCUCUAAAAGCACACAACAGAUCUGAACUACACAUUUGUGUUUUAGCCGUUUUCCUGGAAUCAAUCACAAUCAUGACUGUUCUGUAGGUUUUAUUUAGCAAUGCGAUUAUGCAUGA